CCUUCUCCAGCUCAUUUACCAGAUGAGGAAACAAGCAAAAAAGGGUUAAAUAACUCAUUCAGUGUCAUCCAGCUAGUGUCUGAGGCUAGAUUUGAACUCAGAUCUUCUGACUUCAGUCCCAGCACUCUUCCCACUGCUCCACCUAGCUGCCCAUUGCUAGAAUACCCAUCCAAACAGCAGCAGCAGCAGCACAACAACAACAACAACAACAACAACAACAACAACAACAACAACAACAAACCAAAAACUUGGAUUUUUUUCCCCUCAAUUACUAGGGGUAGGACAAAUGGAGAACAGGGGACGAGGGGGUUGUCACAGAGCAAAUGAGAGAGAGAUUCUGGAAAUAGCUGGAAAAGCCCAAGACAAUGUACAAAUAUGAGAAACUGAAGCUUUGAGAAGGAAAGUGAUUUGCCAAAGGCCAUAAGACUAAUUAGUCACAGAAGAGAGAUAAAUACUCGACUAUUUGACACCUGGUCCAUUCUACUUUCUAUAAUAUUGAGUGACAAGAUGAUG
rnacentral:lncRNA from 1 species